rnacentral:rRNA from 1 species
CAGAGGUGGCAAGCGUUGUUCGGAAUUACUGGGCGUAAAGGGCGCGUAGGCGGCCUUCUAAGUCGGACGUGAAAUCCCCAGGCUUAACUUGGGAACUGCGUCUGAUACUGGAAGGCUUGAGUGCGGGAGAGGGAUGUGGAAUUCCAGGUGUAGCGGUGAAAUGCGUAGAUAUCUGGAGGAACACCGGUGGCGAAGGCGGCAUCCUGGACCGACACUGACGCUGAGGCGCGAAAGCCAGGGGAGCAAACGGGAUUAGAUACCCCGGUAGUCCUGGCCCUAAACGAUGAGUGCUUGGUGUGGCGGGUAUCGAUCCCUGCCGUGCCGAAGCUAACGCAUUAAGCACUCCGCCUGGGGGAGUACGGUCGCAAGGCUG